AGAGUUUGAUCCUGGCUCAGGACGAACGCUGGCGGCGUGCUUAACACAUGCAAGUCGAGCGAGAAACCUUCGGGUUUCUAGCGGCGGACGGGUGAGUAACACGUGGGUAACCUGCCUCAAAGUGGGGGAUAGCCUUCCGAAAGGAAGAUUAAUACCGCAUAACAUUGUAGCUUCGCAUGAAGCAACAAUUAAAGGAGUAAUCCGCUUUGAGAUGGACCCGCGGCGCAUUAGCUAGUUGGAGAGGUAACGGCUCACCAAGGCAACGAUGCGUAGCCGACCUGAGAGGGUGAUCGGCCACAUUGGAACUGAGACACGGUCCAGACUCCUACGGGAGGCAGCAGUGGGGAAUAUUGCACAAUGGGCGAAAGCCUGAUACAGCAACGCCGCGUGAGUGAUGAAGGUCUUCGGAUUGUAAAGCUCUGUCUUUUGGGACGAUAAUGACGGUACCAAAGGAGGAAGCCACGGCUAACUACGUGCCAGCAGCCGCGGUAAUACGAAGGGGGCUAGCGUUGCUCGGAAUUACUGGGCGUAAAGGGCGCGUAGGCGGAUCGUUAAGUCAGAGGUGAAAUCCCAGGGCUCAACCCUGGAACUGCCUUUGAUACUGGCGAUCUUGAGUAUGAGAGAGGUAUGUGGAACUCCGAGUGUAGAGGUGAAAUUCGUAGAUAUUCGGAAGAACACCAGUGGCGAAGGCGACAUACUGGCUCAUUACUGACGCUGAGGCGCGAAAGCGUGGGGAGCAAACAGGAUUAGAUACCCUGGUAGUCCACGCCGUAAACGAUGGAAGCUAGCCGUUGGGUGAUUUAUCACUCGGUGGCGCAGCUAACGCAUUAAGCUUCCCGCCUGGGGAGUACGGUCGCAAGAUUAAAACUCAAAGGAAUUGACGG
rnacentral:rRNA from 1 species